AUUGAACGCUGGCGGCAGGCCUAACACAUGCAAGUCGAGCGGAGCGGCGGACGGGUGAGUAAUGCCUAGGAAUCUGCCUGGUAGUGGGGGAUAACGUCCGGGAACGGGCGCUAAUACCGCAUACUAUCAGAUGAGCCUAGGUCGGCUUAGCGAGUUGGUGGGGUAAAGGCUCACCUAGGCGACGAUACCUAGCUGGUCUGAGAGGAUGACAAGCCACACUGGAACUGAGACACGGUCCAGACUCCUACGGGAGGCAGCAGGAGGGAAUAUUGCACAAUGGGCGCAAGCCUGAUGAAGCCAUGCCGCGUGUAUGAAGAAGGCCUUCGGGUUGUAAAGUACUUUCAGCGGGGAGGCGUUACCCGCAGAAGAAGCACCGGCUAACUCCGUGCCAGCAGCCGCGGUAAUAC
rnacentral:rRNA from 1 species